rnacentral:rRNA from 1 species
AACGGCCGUACCAUGCUGAAUAUACCGGUUCUCGUUAGAUCACCGAAGUUAAGCAUCGUUGGGCGCGGUCAGUACUUGGGUGGGUGAUCACCUGAGAACAACA